rnacentral:rRNA from 1 species
UACAGAGGUCUCAAGCGUUGUUCGGAAUUACUGGGCGUAAAGCGUGCGCAGGCGGUUUUGUAAGUUUGUCGUGAAAGCCCCGGGCUCAACCUGGGAAUUGCGAUGAAGACUGCAAGGCUUGAAUCUGGCAGAGGGGGGUAGAAUUCCACGUGUAGCAGUGAAAUGCGUAGAGAUGUGGAGGAACACCGAUGGCGAAGGCAGCCCCCUGGGUCAAGAUUGACGCUCAUGCACGAAAGCGUGGGGAGCAAACAGG